rnacentral:rRNA from 1 species
UACAGAGGGGGCAAGCGUUGUUCGGAAUUACUGGGCGUAAAGGCGCGUAGGCGGCCUGUUAAGUCGAACGUGAAAUCCCCGGGGCUCAACCCGGGAACUGCGUCCGAUACUGGCAGGCUUGAAUCCGGGAGAGGGAUGCGGAAUUCCAGGUGUAGCGGUGAAAUGCGUAGAUAUCUGGGAGGAACACCGGUGGCGAAGGCGGCAUCCUGG